UUCCAGGACAGCCAGGACUACACAGAGAAACCCUGUCUCGAAAAACCAAAAAAAAAAAAAAAAAAAAAGAAAAAGAAAAAAAAAAAGAUACUAACUAUAUGGAACAUAAAAUCAGACCUUUACAAAAGUAGGAAACAAUAUGAACGCUUUAUGAUAUUGAAAUAAUCAGAGGCUCAACAAAGCUCACAGUAGCAGCAUCUGCAGAUUCAUAACUAAACUUUUUGGUAGAGUUGACUCAGGAGGGGAAGGAUGACAGAGUAAGUAGUGGAAAUGAAAAGAAAAAGAACACAUGAGCUUCGUGUUUGAAAGAACGGGGUGCUGAUGGCACACGCCUUCAGCCCAGCACUCUGGAGGCAGAGGCCAGCCUGAUCUACACAGUGAGUUCCAGACCAAACAGGGACAACCAGUGAGAUUCUAUCUUUAAAGAAAGGAAAGAGAAAGGACAUGAAAUGCAUACUAACCUGGAAAAACGACUCAGGAGCCCAAAUAGUAUAUAUAGUUAUUAAGUAACUUGAACCAGUAGUUAAUAUUAUGCCUACAAAGAGCACACAGUGGUGCAUACCUUUAGUCUCAGCAGUCGGGGGGCAGAGGCAGCCUGGUCUACAUAGCGAGUUCCAGGGCAGCAGAGCUACCUAACAGACCCUGUCUUGAAAACAAAACAAAACAAAAUUAUGUCCACAAAGAAACAUAAGGCUCAGAUGGCUUUAUAGGUGAGUUUUUAUCAAACAUUCAAGAACAGUUCAUUUCUAUGUGAUGUAAACUCUUCCAUAAAGUAAGACAAGAGGCAACAGUCCCCAGCUCAGAGGGUACACAGACCAAAAGGACCAUCUUAGAAACCUCUUUAGAAAUCUUACUAAAAACAAAGGCACUCAUAUACAAGAAUGUUCAUAGCAGCAUUGUGUAUAAUAACAGAAGCCUGCCGACAGCCCAAGUGUUACUCAGUAGGUGAGUGGCUAAGUUGCUUGAUGGGGUAUUAUACAGAUGCAGAGGAACAAGUCAUAGCAAUUACAACAGAGGAGUCGGAGAAACAAUGGGUGCUCCCUGACUCGCAGCAUCUGUUAAUCCAGCCUAAGCCCACAGUCCUGGCUAGGUCCUGACACAUGUGACAAGUGCAUGACAUCUGGUGGCUGCAGAAUGAAGAUAUAACGGUCAAACAGAAGCCUGGGAGUGUUGGUGGCUGUGAAGUGGUCCAAACUAAGGAUGGUUUUACAUUAUGUGAAGCAGAAGAACAGAGUGUGCAAUCAGAUCAAGCCUCACCUGCAGCCAGGACUGCCUCUUGAUUCUGCAACUUCAGCUGAUAAACUGCUUUUAUCUUUAAUGAGUUUUGAGUUAAGUUCCCUAUGAUUAGAAGCCAGAAUAUCCCUAACCUACUUACCCUAUCUCCUAGGAGAACACAGGGAUAUAGGUGGGAAGUCAUUACAGAUUUGCUGUUUGUAUUAAAGCCAUGGUACUGAGCUAGAAAGGCCUGAAGCAGCCACGAGGCACAAAGCAAGCCAGGCCACUGGGUUCCCUGUGGGGGAAGACUAGCUGGAUGAGAAGGAGGCUCAGUGAAGGGCCUCUGCCAGGCAGCAGGCAGAGCUCACAUGAACAUAGCCACUCUUCCCCCACAGACCUAUCUGUCUAUCAUGGGGGUGUUGCUUUGGGGUCUUUAUGCUCAGGGGUUAGGGAACUUUGAAGUACACGACCCUUUAACCCUUUGUUGCCCUGUGUUGCAGCAUCAGCCUCUCCCUUUACCAACUGAAGAGCCUCUUUUUGAAUUCUGCCCUUGAUAACACUCACUUUUGAAGUGACAGGAGGAAUUUUAUCUUCUGCUUCUUUGGCUUCCUGGGAACUCAAGCUCCUUUCUCCUUUGGAAACAGCACCAUCUUGCUGACCUUGCACAAGCACUGUUUCCCGCUCAGCCUCACCCCCUGGCCCUGGUCCUUCUGGUCUCCCAAUGAAGUUGUUUUCUCUUUUUG
rnacentral:lncRNA from 1 species